UGCGCAGCUCCGGUGCCCAGCGCGCAAGGCGCGCCCCAGUCCCGCGCGUCCCAGCCGCUGUCUGUCUCCCCCACUGCCUCCUCUGUGCUGACUCAUUGAGCGACCCCGACUUGUCUCAAAAUAAAACAGGGGCACAGACACUUGUAGUCUGGACAGACUCCCCCCGAGGCUAGAGUCUAUAGGAACUGGAGACAUCCCUGUACCGAUCCUGGUACCAAUGCGCCCCUGUUCGCGCUGUGGUUCUCAGUCUCGCUCCCACCGCAACCCCUUCCCCCCGUAACUCGAGAAAUUUAAACCAGCGUCUUAAAAAUAAACCGCGUGGGAGCCCGGGAGUUCGUGAAUGUGGCCGACAGGAUAGGAAAAGCAAAAUGAAGUGGUUUGUGGCUGAAACAACCUCCACGGGAAAGAAAACUGGAGUGUUCGUUCAUCCAUCAAAGAACAAACGCCAACGUCUGAGCCAACGACCCCAGCUCCCCCAGACAAAGCAGUGAACAGAUUAAAGGAUGGGAGGAAGGAUACAAUCAAAAUCGGGUGGUGAUGGCUGGCAGAUAAAAAUAUGGAACGCUUCAUGAAUUUGCGUGUCGUUCUUGCGCAGGGGCCAUGCUAAUCUUCUGUGUAUCCUUCCAAUUUUAGCAUAUGUGCUGCCAAAGCAAGCACUUUUUUUUUCUUUAAUAGAGACAGGGUCUCGCUUUUAUGCCCCGCCUGGUCUCAAACUCCUGGCUUCAAGUGAUCCUCCUGCCUCAGCCUCCCAAAGCGCUGGCAUUACAGGCUUGAGUCACCAUAUCUGGCCAAUUGAUUGCUUUCUUUUCUUUUUUGUUUUUUUUUUUGAGUUGAUGCCUCACUCUGUCGCCCAGGCUGGAGUGCAGUAGUGCAAUCUCAGCUCACUGCAACGUCUGCCUGUGUUAAGCGAUUCUCCUGCCUCAGCCUCCCGAGAAGAAGGGAUUACAGGCAUACGCCACCCACACCCAGCUAAGUUUUGUAUUUUUAGUAGAGAUGGGUUUUUGACAUGUUGUCCAGGCUGGUCUCAAACUCCCAACCUCAAAUAAUCCGCCCACCUGGGACUCCCAAAGUGCUGGAAUUACAGGUGUGAGCCACCUUGUCUGUGCCAGUUGAUUGUUUUCUGAUUAUAAAAGUAAUGGAUCACUGUAGAAGACUUGGAAAAUACAAAAAAGAAUCGUGAAAACGUCUGUGGCUGCGGCGGGUGGCAGGGAGUCUGUUCCUAGGCCAGUUCCCGAGGCAGAACCAGACACAAGGAAGCAGUGGCGAGGUGGGCUCCUGUACCUGGGGCCCAGCAUUAGCUUGGGGCUUAGUCACUUACCAGUGUGUGGCUUCGGGCAAACAUUGUUAAACCUCUCUAGACUUCAUUUUGUCACCUGUAAAAUAUGACUAAUAAAAUGAACUCUAAGAUCCCUUCUCGGCUCUGUGAAAGGCAACCUCAGAAAUCAACUCUGCCUCCAAAACAAGUGGCAUGAGCUUCUCCACCAAGUCGAAUAAAGUGGAAUUACUACUUUCCUAGAAAUGCUUUAAGAAAGCGUUGGAAAAGCAGAUCUAUGACUCCAUCUGUCUUUCAGGAGCGCUGUCUCUUAAAAACAGAUGUGACUAAUAACACAAAUAUUUGGCAGGUGCCAAUACAUGUUAAAAGUCCAGUCCAAGGCGAUGACCAUUCUGAUCACACCAUUCUAGAAUGGUCAACCCAGUGGAAAGUGUGGCAUCUUUAAAAAUUCUGUAAUGAAGCAGAGUGAUCAA
rnacentral:lncRNA from 1 species